rnacentral:rRNA from 1 species
GAACCACUUCGGUGGGGAUUAGUGGCGAACGGGUGAGUAACACGUGGGCAAUCUGCCCUGCACUCUGGGACAAGCCCUGGAAACGGGGUCUAAUACCGGAUACUGAUCCGUCUGGGCAUCCAGACGGUUCGAAAGCUCCGGCGGUGCAGGAUGAGCCCGCGGCCUAUCAGCUUGUUGGUGAGGUAGUGGCUCACCAAGGCGACGACGGGUAGCCGGCCUGAGAGGGCGACCGGCCACACUGGGACUGAGACACGGCCCAGACUCCUACGGGAGGCAGCAGUGGGGAAUAUUGCACAAUGGGCGAAAGCCUGAUGCAGCGACGCCGCGUGAGGGAUGACGGCCUUCGGGUUGUAAACCUCUUUCAGCAGGGAAGAAGCGAAAGUGACGGUACCUGCAGAAGAAGCGCCGGCUAACUACGUGC